GGCAGUGAACAGCUAUGGUCGGUACAGCAGUCACUUUCAGCCUCAGUGUCACCGCAGCCAUAGUAGAGCGGGCUUUGAUAUGUCUGUGACUAUAGCAGGAGUGUUUGAAGAGACUGAGAGUGGAGAGAGGUGGGGGUCAAGAAAGGGAAGCCAACACCACCCCUUCUCAUAUCCCGCUUCAAUCCCCCACCCCACCCCCCCGCCGCCCCGAUCCCAGCUUUAAAUGGGCUUGUGCAGUCGAAACCACCAGUUUGGGCUUCACCACAGGUUCAGCCUACAAUGUGGACACUUCAAAGACUUCAAAGCUGUUCUAUUUCAUCUAAACCUUCAAAAUAUAGAUCCUAACAGGAAUUCAAGACAACGACUGCAGUGGUUUCAUCUAUGAACUCACAUUUAGCACUGGAUUUCUUUAUGAGCCACUUCAGGAGACUAUGGCUGAGGCUGGAGAAAAGGUGGGGACGCAUUUGGAUGGGGUUCUCUUUUCCUUCUCAUCAUAGAUCCAGCAUCAAACAGCUUGACUAGGGAGUGUUUCAUAGCCCUCAGGUAUGUUAGGGAGGGAAAAAAGAAGUUGAAACCCAUUGGCUUCAAGCAAGGAGAGAGAAUUCCGUAAGUCUGACAGAGCUUUCCUCCAGUUCGGCUGGAUUUUCUAUGGUUUUACUGAAUCCCACCCACAGAUGGCACGGUAGCACUCGAUUGCAUUCUGAUGGCUGCUGCAAGCUUCAUGUACCAUUCCAUAUUUGGUCAGGUCCUGCGCCUCAAAUCCUAAUAGUGCUGCCCCAGAUACAGCACAGCUGCCCCGAUUCCUCUCUCAAGAAUAUGAAAAGAUCUCCAGAAAGGAGGUCCUCCUACCAGCUCGUGCCUCUUCUCUUCCUACUCAGCCAAGAAGCAAAGCAAUCUGUGUCAGAUGUUGCCAUGUAAGAGCCAGUUUGAAUUGCACCUCAUUACGAAAUCUCCCCAAGCCUGCGUCAGUACGGCUCCAUCAAUUGCCCUGGCCUCUGGUUCUUAAAUCGUAUCCAUCCAUUAUAUUAAACUAAGAGGAACUAUAGAUUAUGAGAAAGAAAUCAGACAACUAGACUUCUGCUCUGGGAUCUGGUUAUCAGCAACUGCCAGUAGAAUUCAGAGUUCGGCAGGCACAGAAUGCUUCAGCUCCCCCGUGGACUCUCCAAGGAACAUGCCACCGAUCAGUGAUCCCACUCCCACGAGCUCUGCUUGGUCACUGGGGGCCAAGACAUCACAUUAACACCCUCAUCUCUGCAAAAUCUCUUCAUAUCUAUAUUGGAUGAAAGCAAAUCUUCUGGACAAAUUGAAGGCUCCAUAAAGUCUUUAUGUUUUCAGAUAUCCAUAGGCUAAUCCAAAACACAAAACAAGCAAAAACCGAAAG
ensembl:lncRNA